AUGGCCUGGGCUCUGCUCCUCCUCAGCCUCCUCUCUCAGGGCACAGGGUCCUGGGCCCAGGCGGCCCUCACUCAGCCUCCUUCAGUGUCCGGGAACCCGGGACAGUCAGUCACCAUCUCCUGUGCUGGGAGCAGCAGUGAUAUCGGUGGUUAUAUUUACGUCUCCUGGUAUCAACAGCGCCCGGGCACGGCCCCCAAACUCCUGAUUUAUUAUGUCAGCACUCGGCCCUCAGGGAUCCCUGAGCGCUUCUCUGGCUCCAAGUCUGGCAACACGGCCACCCUGACCAUCUCUGGGCUGCAGGCUGAGGACGAGGCUGACUAUUACUGCUGCUCAUAUAGGAGUGAUAACACUCUCCACAGUAGUGCAGGCUCAUGGGGAAGUGAGACCAAAACCCGCCCUGGGCUCCCAGGCGCCCUCCUUGUUCUGAAGAUGCUCCCCUCCCAGUGUUUCAGUCGGGAGUCCCAGCAUUCCUCAGCCAAGAACCGCGAGGAUGCCCAAGGAGUAGGGACAGGGACCUCCAAGGUGGCCUCCGGUCCCUCUCCUGUGGUCUCAGUGGGUCCCGGGUGA